UGGGCUAUAAUAUUAUGCGGUGGAGCGCCGCGCCUCCUCCCGACGCUGACUGCAAAGGUUGGCACCAUCUCCCUAUCGGGAGGUUCUGCUGCAACGUCGAUGCAGCGUUCUUUCGAGAGUCCAAUGCCAUGGGAUUGGGGCUGGUGAUUCGGGACCACGAGGGGAACUUCAUGGCCGGCAAAUCCAUCAAGGUCCCAGG
rnacentral:lncRNA from 1 species